AGUGGCGGACGGGUGAGUAACGCGUGGGUAACCUGCCUCAUACAGGGGGAUAACAGUUAGAAAUGACUGCUAAUACCGCAUAAGACCACGGAGCCGCAUGGCUCAAUGGGAAAAACUCCGGUGGUAUGAGAUGGACCCGCGUCUGAUUAGGUAGUUGGUGGGGUAACGGCCUACCAAGCCAACGAUCAGUAGCCGACCUGAGAGGGUGACCGGCCACAUUGGGACUGAGACACGGCCCAA
rnacentral:rRNA from 1 species